GCAGUAGCCGCGGGAAUACGGAGGGAGCUAGCGUUGUUCGGAAUUACUGGGCGUAAAGCGCACGUAGGCGGCUUUGUAAGUCAGAGGUGAAAGCCUGGAGCUCAACUCCAGAACUGCCUUUGAGACUGCAUCGCUUGAAUCCAGGAGAGGUGAGUGGAAUUCCGAGUGUAGAGGUGAAAUUCGUAGAUAUUCGGAAGAACACCAGUGGCGAAGGCGGCUCACUGGACUGGUAUUGACGCUGAGGUGCGAAAGCGUGGGGAGCAAACAGGAUUAGAUACCCGGGUAGUCCCUGUCUCUUAUAC
rnacentral:rRNA from 1 species